ACGGCGAAACACUCACCGACCUGGGCCAACAUCCAGGACUACAUCGCUGCCUUCCCGAGCUCCUUCCCACACACCUGCAGUCUGUGUCAGGGAGAGAGCGCCUUCACAAACACGUUUCCCAAAGAGUGCUUGAGCAUGAAGGACUGGUUUUCUCAUCAGAAGAGCUGGCGCCACAAUGAGAACUGCAAGUCUCUCCGCAUCAGGUAUCCGGACUGGGAUGGGAAAGCAUUACCCGUCACUAGCUACACUCCUUCCAGUACUUCAUCGCUCAGCCCCCAAGUCACAACGUCCCGGAGCAGACAGACAAGAGCAGGUCCCAGUCUCCACACAGAGGAAAAAAGAAAGAAAGAAAAAGAUCCCGUUCGGCCUCUCCCUCCUCCUCUCGCCGGACGUACUCUCGCUCUAGAAGUCAUGGGCGCCGUGAGUCGCCGCCUCGCCGAUUCGAGGAGCGUCGCCGUGAUGACAAACGGACCUCCCCGAAGAGAAAAGGAUCCCGCUUGGUCUCUCCUCCCUCCUGUUCUCGGCGGCCGCGCUCCCGAUCCAGAAGCCGCGAGCGCCGCAAACGGACCUCCCCGAAGAGGAGAGACGAGCGCAGAGCGUCUCCCAGGAGCGAACGGGACAGACGUGUAUCACCGAUCAGAA
rnacentral:lncRNA from 1 species